rnacentral:rRNA from 1 species
GACGAACGCUGGCGGCGUGGAUAAGACAUGCAAGUCGAACGGGAUUACUUUUGUAGCAAUACAGAAGUAAUUCAGUGGCGAACGGGUGCGUAACACGUGGGCAAUCUGCCGAAAAGUGGGGGAUAGCUCGCCGAAAGGCGAAUUAAUACCGCAUGUGGUGAGGGACGACAUCUUCCUGAAUCCAAAGCCGGGGCAACCUGGCGCUCUUUGAGGAGCCCGCGGCCUAUCAGCAGUUGGUGAGGUAAUGGCUCACCAAGGCUUUGACGGGUAGCUGGUCUGAGAGGACGACCAGUCACACUGGAACUGAGACACGGUCCAGACACCUACGGGUGGCAGCAGUCGAGAAUUUUUCUCAAUGGGGGAAACCCUGAAGGAGCGACGCCGCGUGGAGGAUGAAGGC